GUCCACGCCGUAAACGAUGGAUACUAGCUGUUGGGGGUAACCUCAGUGGCUAAGCGAAAGUGAUAAGUAUCCCACCUGGGGAGUACGUUCGCAAGAAUGAAACUCAAAGGAAUUGACGGGGGCCCGCACAAGCGGUGGAGCAUGUGGUUUAAUUCGAUGAUACGCGAGGAACCUUACCAAGGCUUAAAAUGUAGUUUGACAGGUUUGGAAACAGAUCUUUCUUCGGACAAAUUACAAGGUGCUGCAUGGUUGUCGU
rnacentral:rRNA from 1 species